GGGAAUGUGGCUUAUGGUAGAGUGCUUGCCUUGCAUGCAUGAGGUCCUGGGUUCGAGUCCUCAGUACCA
rnacentral:tRNA from 1 species